rnacentral:rRNA from 1 species
UGGGGAAUCUUGCGCAAUGGGCGAAAGCCUGACGCAGCGACGCCGCGUGCGGGAAGAAGGCCUUCGGGUUGUAAACCGCUUUCAGGAGGGACGAGGCCACUCGGGUUAAUAGCCCAGAGGGUGACGGUACCUCCAGAAGAAGCCCCGGCUAACUACGUGCCAGCAGCCGCGGUAAUACGUAGGGGGCUAGCGUUGUCCGGAUUUAUUGGGCGUAAAGAGCGCGUAGGCGGCCGAGUAAGUCCGACGUGAAAUCUGGAGGCUCAACCUCCAGCGGUCGUUGGAAACUACUCGGCUAGAGUCCGGAAGAGGAGAGUGGAAUUCCUGGUGUAGCGGUGAAAUGCGCAGAUAUCAGGAAGAACGCCGAUGGCGAAAGCAGCUCUCUGGGACGGUACUGACGCUGAGGCGCGAAAGCGUGGGGAGCGAACAGGAUUAGAUACCCUGGUAGUCCACGCCGUAAACGAUGGGUGCUAGGUGUGGGCGGUGUCGACUCCGCCCGUGCCGAAGCUAACG